rnacentral:rRNA from 1 species
UACGUAGGGUGCAAGCGUUGCUCGGAAUUACUGGGCGUAAAGGGAGCGUAGGCGGAUAGUUUAGCCAGAGGUGAAAGCCCAGGGCUCAACCUUGGAAUUGCCUUUGAUACUGGCUAUCUUGAGUGUGGGAGAGGUAUGUGGAACUCCGAGUGUAGAGGUGAAAUUCGUAGAUAUUCGGAAGAACACCAGUGGCGAAGGCGGCUCACUGGACCGGCAUUGACGCUGAGGUGCGAAAGCGUGGGGAGCAAACAGGAUUAGAAACCCCUGUAGU